rnacentral:rRNA from 1 species
GACGGGGGAUGCGAGCGUUAUCCGGAAUGAUUGGGCGUAAAGGGUCCGCAGGUGGCCCGGUCAGUCCGCUGUCAAAGCCUGGGGCUCAACCCUGGAGAGGCGGCGGAGACCACCGGGCUUGAGUCCGGUAGGGGCAGAGGGAAUUUCCGGUGGAGCGGUGAAAUGCGUAGAGAUCGGGAAGAACGCCAAGGGCGAAGGCACUCUGCUAGGCCUGAUUUCGCGACUGACACUCAGGGACGAGAGCCAGGGGAGCGAAUGGG